rnacentral:lncRNA from 1 species
GUUUCAACUUAAAAGGAUGUUUAUAACGUCGGGUCUUUACAAUAAAAUGGUAUGUGGGACCUUAAAAUAUUGUGAUGUUGACUAGUGUUUUUAGAGAAAACAUAGCUAAAAAGUUUUUAAAUGCCAUUGAAUAAUCUAGGGAAGAUCUGAAGAGACCUAAGAAGAUAUAACCUAGUAGAAGAUACAAAUUCAAGGGCCCAACCAAUAACACAGAGACAUACCCAGAGCCCAAGGUCAGAAGCUGUACCACAGGAAACCAUAACAACACCACCUCUUCUGCCAAGCCACAUCAUCAGCGGAGGUGUCGCACUCAGCAAUAUUACUAUUACAAUAGCUGUUAAAUGAUCAGCAACCAGCAGUUUCAGCGACGUGUUAUCCUGUUUGCCGCGGGGCUCUCCGGGCAGCGCUGGCGCUGAAGGGGGCGGCGGUGACGUCAUGCUGCAGUCCCUCGCGCCCAACACCGUCAAGCAGUAUCACACGUACUUGACACGCUGGUAUUAAUAUACCAGCAUAUUACAUAUUAAAUAUUAUGUAAUAUGUUUUGUGGAAAAUAAUAUUAAUUGUUUUAAGACAUCUAUUCCACAAAUACUAGGUUUUAACAAAUUGUGUAACGAGGUAGCUGGCUAGCUGGGUAUGAAAGUGUCAAUUGUUGCACAUCUGCUUUGGUGCUUUUAUUGAGAGAAAAGAUCUCAUCAGAUGAUAACGUGAUACGCUUUAUGAAGGUGCGUUUUUUCGUAUAUACCCACCAUAACCUAAAUAUCGAGACGUAAUUGGUUUUAAACAAUUUGUCAACGUUGUCAACAAGUGUGUGAAAUAUCCGAGUAAAAAAUUAGUCACCCUAUUAGCAAUUGUCACAGCACACGGAGUGCAAAAUCUGUACUUGAUAAAGUUAUGUAAUACUAUUUACCAUUAUCCUGAAAAGAUCCUUAUAAAAAUUUCAGACUUUAUUAAAACUUCUAAAGUAGGUAGCUGUACGGAUCAACGAGUGCAUAACAACAUAGUUAUAUGUGGUGGGUGUGAACGACUAUUUAUUGCCUAUGAGAAACCACUUAGAUUAGUAGGUGGAUUAAGUAAAUAAGAUAGUGGUAUUGACACCUCCAUUUUCACCUCCCAUUUGACCCACCAUGCGUCGGUGUUAGCCGCAAAUCGAUUAGGAGUCAAUAUUGAUGUAACCAGAAAAACAUCAGGCCUGAUACUUCUAAAGUUAUCGAUAAAUUUUAUAAUAGGCCCUUAGUGUCUACAAUUGAUUUUGAUAGAGCAUCGAUGAUCGAUGUCUAGUUAGUUAGGAAACAAGUGUUUCCGUCAAUUAACAAUGAAUGUAAAAUUGUAAGCAGUAAUAUAUUACGAAGACUUGUUUAUAUGUACCUAUAGUUAUUGAGUUGUUAAUUCUUAAAAACAAAGAUAGUAUGUAUCUUUGCUGAUUGUGAUAGUUAUAAAACAUAAGUAUUAUAAGAUGGUACUAGAUGAAUAUUAAUAAGGAAGGAUUUCCUUUUGGUUUAAAUACAUUUAUUAAUGUUUGGUAAACGAUGAUAUCACUAGAAAUUUGAAAUUUAAGUGAUUAAGGAUUAUCACGUGUUAAAAAUUCACAUAAUCUUGACAUAAAACAUAAUUUUGCUAGGCUAACAUUGUAUACCUAAUACAAAGCCAGAAAUAAACUUUGUAUAUCUCUAAA